UAGCACAGGCCAUUCAGAUAGGGGCAGAUGGAGACGACUCCGUAGGUAGGCAAGUUCCAGGUAGCACAGGCCAUUCAGAUAGGGGCAGAUGGAGACAACUCCGUAGGUAGGCAAGUUCCAGGUAGCACAGGCCAUUCAGAUAGGGGCAGAUGGAGACGACUCCGUAGGUAGGCAAGUUCCAGGUAGCACAGGCCAUUCAGAUAGGGGCAGAUGGAGACGACUCCGUAGGUAGGCAAGUUCCAGGUAGCACAGGCCAUUCAGAUAGGGGCAGAUGGAGACAACUCCGUAGGUAGGCAAGUUCCAGGUAGCACAGGCCAUUCAGAUAGGGGCAGAUGGAGACAACUCCGUAGGUAGGCAAGUUCCAGGUAGCACAGGCCAUUCAGAUAGGGGCAGAUGGAGACGACUCCGUAGGUAGGCAAGUUCCAGGUAGCACAGGCCAUUCAGAUAGGGGCAGAUGGAGACGACUCCGUAGGUAGGCAAGUUCCAGGUAGCACAGGCCAUUCAGAUAGGGGCAGAUGGAGACAACUCCGUAGGUAGGCAAGUUCCAGGUAGCACAGGCCAUUCAGAUAGGGGCAGAUGGAGACAACUCCGUAGGUAGGCAAGUUCCAGGUAGCACAGGCCAUUCAGAUAGGGGCAGAUGGAGACGACUCCGUAGGUAGGCAAGUUCCAGGUAGCACAGGCCAUUCAGAUAGGGGCAGAUGGAGACAACUCCGUAGGUAGGCAAGUUCCAGGUAGCACAGGCCAUUCAGAUAGGGGCAGAUGGAGACGACUCCGUAGGUAGGCAAGUUCCAGGUAGCACAGGCCAUUCAGAUAGGGGCAGAUGGAGACAACUCCGUAGGUAGGCAAGUUCCAGGUAGCACAGGCCAUUCAGAUAGGGGCAGAUGGAGACAACUCCGUAGGUAGGCAAGUUCCAGGUAGCACAGGCCAUUCAGAUAGGGGCAGAUGGAGACAACUCCGUAGGUAGGCAAGUUCCAGGUAGCACAGGCCAUUCAGACAGAUGACACGGUGAGGAAACAUCCAUCAGGCCCGAUCGGCGUUCGGUCAUAAGAGAGAGUUCUAAUUUGCU